GUUUCAGAGGUCAAGCCAAACAGCAGAUCCACAGGCAACCUUGGGGAUCUUCCAAACAGUAAGAUCAGCUGUGUUUGGGUGCUCGUCUUUCUACGGAAGAUGCCAUCAUCUCCCAAGAAAAGUUUGUCCCAGCUGCGCAGUAAACAUUUACUUUGUGCACUCAAGGUCUUCAAUAGAUGUCCUGUUGGCUUAUUGUCAGACAACUUAAACUGUAAAACGGGUCCAAUGUGGUCAUCAUUUCGUUGUGCUUGUCUGAUCUCAUCCACGGGCAAUGGCUCACAUAUGUGCUCCGAUGUCUGGGUGUCAUCAAAAGAAAUCAUGGCAGCCCAGGAAAGGUUGGAAUGCGGUGCCUCUACUACUUGGAUGGUCGCUUCGACACAGUCAGAUGGUUUGUCACAGCAGCUGUAUCGGCCGGAUCCAUCUUACUCCCUUCAGCAGACACAAUCCUCCCAAGGUGUUGCUGAAAACUAACGUGUCAUCCAGAUAGGGAACACAGAUGUUAUCUCUUAGCUCAUCCAGACACUCCUCCAUGCAGCGCUGAAAAGCCGAAGGAGCAUUCAUCAGGCCAAAAGGUAUCCGGAUCCACUCAUAUAAGCCCCACGGAGUCACAAAGGCUGUUAAGGGUCGACUCUCCUUGGCCAUGAAUCCCUGAUGAUAUGCUUUUCCUUGGUCAAGAAGGGAAAACCAGGAGUUCCCUCCCAAACUGUCCAUUAUGUCUUGUACACGGGGAAUGGGUUGUCGAUCAGGAUGAGUUUUACGAUUUAACUGCCUGUAAUCAAUGCACAAACGUAAGCUGCCAUCUUUUUUUCUAACGCAUACAACAGGUGAGGCAUAUGGCGAGUUUGAUUUCUGUACCCAUCCUUGUGCAAUGAGAUCU